ensembl:lncRNA
AUAUUUAGAUUUAGCAAGAGUCCAGUGCAACUCUCUUUACAGUUAAGAGUUUGUGUGCUGGACCCACUCACCAGAAGAGAAUGAUUCUUAAGUGCCGCCUGCAGCUGCUUCCUGUGUGUAACUCUUACCAGGGUCCUCAGCUCCACAGGCGGCCGCACCUCUGUAGUCGUCCUGUGUGGUUGCUUUUUGAGAGUAUGUUGUUGUCGAGAAUCCUUUGUUAAUCCUCUCUUUUUGUCCUUCCCCUUUGUUUCUGGUCUGUGUUUUGUCUGUGGCUAUAAGCGCUCCCUUGCCUCCCUCUUUUCUCCUUGCAUUUUCCCACUAUUGUUGCAAUAUUCAGUGACACAAGGACUGUGUGUAAAGGUAUUCAAAAAUCUUCACAAAUGACAGUAAUUUGCCUGAUGAUGUUGAGGUAUCUUAUUCUUGUUUCCUGCCUAAGAGUGAAGUGUGAAUAUAUGGCUUCCUUUGCUGUGUUACUGUAAAUGGAGAGGUAUGUUGAUGUGAAAUUGAAAUGCUCUAUAUAGCCUUUUUUAUAUAAAAUUAUAACAAAAUUUGCUUGUCUGUGUUGUUUUACUGUGAUUCCAUUAAGAUUUGCAGGCCAAAGACUCCCUGCUGGAAAAUGUGUCAAAUUUGCUGCCAAUAUUGUAGAUAGAUAGCAACCAAUAUUGGUUUUUGAUUACAAAGUAUUUCGUCCAGCUGUUGUACUGUAUCUCUGCAUGUUUGUAAAUCAUAUCUAAAAGUUUUUAGCCCUAGCAUUGGUUAUCCAUCACCCAUAUAGCAUCUCUGUGCCCUUUCCUUGCUCUAGUAAAAUCAAUACGAGGGUCCCGGGAGAUCAGGAAAACCUAUUGACCACACAAACCUCCUAAUUGAGGCAGGAAGGAGGGGCUGCACUUAGAAGAUAUUUAGAGGAUGUGUUCAGACUCGUCUCUCAUCAGCAACCUUACUGCCCUCCUAAUACAAACCUGCCCUCCUGUUGUUGUGUAUCAUUACCAAACAAAUAAAAAACGU